GUUUGCAAGCUUCGAAAGUCCUUUUAUGGCUUGACUCGAGCUUGGUUUGAGAGAUUUAGUUAAGUGGUACAGGAGUUUAGUAUGCCAAAAAUUAAAUAUAAUCAUUUCGUGUUUUAUAGGCAAUCUGCGACUAGCCUAAUCUUGUUAGUGGCAUAUGCAGACGAUAUUGUCAUCAAUAUGAGUGACUCUACAAGUCUCUCAUCUCUAAAAUCCUUUCAACAAGUUUCAAACAAAAGACUUAAGUUUGCUUAAGUACCUUUUAGGCAUUGAAGUUACAAGAUGUUAAGAAAGGCAUUUUCUUAUCUUAGAGAAAGUAUGUCCUUGACUUAUUAGCAGAAAUAAGGAGGUUAGGUGCUAAGCCUUGCAGUGCAAUGGUGAGUUGUUUGAAG
rnacentral:misc_RNA from 1 species